AACGCUAGCUACAGGCUUAACACAUGCAAGUCGAGGGGAAACGACAUCGAAAGCUUGCUUUUGAUGGGCGUCGACCGGCGCACGGGUGAGUAACGCGUAUCCAACCUGCCCACCACUUGGGGAUAACCUUGCGAAAGUAAGACUAAUACCCAAUGAUAUCUCUAGAAGACAUCUGAAGGAGAUUAAAGAUUUAUCGGUGAUGGAUGGGGAUGCGUCUGAUUAGCUUGUUGGCGGGGUAACGGCCCACCAAGGCGACGAUCAGUAGGGGUUCUGAGAGGAAGGUCCCCCACAUUGGAACUGAGACACGGUCCAAACUCCUACGGGAGGCAGCAGUGAGGAAUAUUGGUCAAUGGACGAGAGUCUGAACCAGCCAAGUAGCGUGCAGGAUGACGGCCCUAUGGGUUGUAAACUGCUUUUAUAAGGGAAUAAAGUGAGUCUCGUGAGACUUUUUGCAUGUACCUUAUGAAUAAGGACCGGCUAAUUCCGUGCCAGCAGCCGCGGUAAUACGGAAGGUCCGGGCGUUAUCCGGAUUUAUUGGGUUUAAAGGGUGCGUAGGCGGACGCUUAAGUCAGUUGUGAAAGUUCGAGGCUCAACCUUGGAAUUGCAAUUGAUACUGGUCGUCUAGAGAUUACAUAAGGUAGGCGGAAUUCGUGGUGUAGCGGUGAAAUGCUUAGAUAUCACGAA
rnacentral:rRNA from 1 species